UCGCGGCUUAUCACAGGCAGUCUCCUUAGAGUGCUCAACUAAAUGGUAGCAACUAAGGACGGGGGUUGCGCUCGUUGCGGGACUUAACCCAACAUCUCACGACACGAGCUGACGACAGCCAUGCAGCACCUGUCUCCGGUCCAGCCGAACUGAAGAACUCCAUCUCUGGAGUCCGCGACCGGGAUGUCAAGGGCUGGUAAGGUUCUGCGCGUUGCGUCGAAUUAAACCACAUGCUCCACCGCUUGUGCGGGCCCCCGUCAAUUCCUUUGAGUUUCAGUCUUGCGACCGUACUCCCCAGGUGGAUCACUUAAUGGUUUCCCUUAGACGCUGACUGUGUAUCGCCAACAGCCAGUUCUCAUCGUUUACGGCGUGGACUA
rnacentral:misc_RNA from 1 species